rnacentral:rRNA from 1 species
GAUGAACGCUGGCGGCGUGCCUAAUACAUGCAAGUCGAGCGAACAGACGAGGAGCUUGCUCUUCUGACGUUAGCGGCGGACGGGUGAGUAACACGUGGAUAACCUACCUAUUUGCCUGGGAUAACUACGGGAAACCGGAGCUAAUACCGCAUAAUAUAUUUUACCGCAUGGUUCAAUAGUAAAAGGCGCUUUUGCUGUCCCACAUAGAUGAAUCCGGGUUGCAUUAGUUAGUUGGUAGGGUACCGGCUUACCAAGGCAACGUUGCUUAGCCGACCUGAGAGGGUGUUCGGCAACACUGGAACUAGAACACGGUCAAGACUCCUACGGGAGGCAGCAGUGGGGAAUCUUCGACAAUGGGCGAAAGCCUGACGGAGCAACGCCGCGUGGGUGAUGAAGGUCUUCGGAUCGUAAAACUCUGUUAUUGGGAAAGAACAGAUGUGUAGGUAACUAUGCACGUCUUGACGGUACCCAAUCAGAAAGCGACGGCUAACUACGUG